GUUUAUAGUGCUGUGAGUUUAACACUUCAUGACUGACAGCAGAACAGAACACAAUCUUCAUCAUCACACAACACAAACAACAACAAUGACCUUCAGCAUCAUCUUCAUCUGGACUUUGUUUAUGUGUCUUCAAGGUUUUAGUGGACAGGUGACUGUGACUCAGACUCCCUCUGUAAAGAUGGUUCAGAUUGGUGAAUCGGUCACUAUAAGUUGCAAAACUAACACAGAAGUGAGCAAUGACUGUCCUGGUUCAUAUACUUGUAUGGCCUGGUACCAGCAGAAAUCUGGAGAAGCUCCUAAACUACUUAUUGAAUCCGCAAGCCGAAGACAGCCAAAUAUCCCAUCUAGAUUCAGUGGCAGCGGAUCAAGAACUGAUUUCACUCUGAGCAUCAGUGGAGUCCAGACUGAAGAUUCAGGAGAUUAUUACUGUCAGAGUGAACACUACAUCAACAGUAAAUAUGUGUUCACACAGUGAUAAAGAGUCGUACAAAAACCUCCGUCAGUCAGACUGCACAGUGACUGCACUGAUACAACUGACAGAUUCUGCAGCUGCUCGUAAAACUCAGUAUAGCAAUGAAUCCAGACACUUAAAAUAUUUUUUUUGUUUUUCAUUAAUUAAUUAAUUCAUUCAUUCAUUCUUACACUUAUUCAUUAAUUAAUUCACUUAAAAUAAUAAUUGUAAAUUAAAAAAUGUAAUUAUACAGAUACUAAUUAUAGAAUGUGAAGGAGUGUGCAGAAACUAACAAAACAUCUUUACUCUUGAGUUUUCACAGACAGCUUUAGACAGCGAGUUUAUCAUUUAGAGACUUUUGCACUCAUAAAAACAUCUGAUGAAAGUUGUUGAUUAUGCUGAGAAACAUCAGUCAGUGUUCAUCAGUGAAGAGCUGUGAUUAACAGAUACUGAAGAACACACAUCAGAAUGAAUCAUUCACUGUGUCUUAUCACAGACUGAACAGUUCAUUCAAUCAUUCAUAAUGUCAGUAUGACUGCUGAAAACUGAUGAAUAUGAACAAACCUCAUCUCUCCAUUAGUCAAACUGAACUGUCUCAUUUCACAGAAUAAAGUGUCAAACAGUUCAACUCAUAUUUGCAUCAUCAGGAUGAGUGAUUCUUUCCUCUCAGAAUAGAGCAGCUCCAUCAGCAGAUGUUCACCGUCCUCAGAAGAGUUUCAUGUAAUUACUGUCAACACAUACGUUGCUGUGAAAAACUAUUUGCCCCCAUCCGCAUUUCUUCUAUUUUUCUGUAUAUCUCUUUCUAAAUUAUUUCAGAUACUCAAAAACCAAAAUUGACAUAAAACAAAGGCAAUCUGAGUAUUGAGUAAACACAAAAUACAGUUUUUAAAUUAGAUUGUUUUGUAUUGAAGCAAAACAAAGAAACAAACAAAAAACAAUACUAAUUGGGCAUAUGUGAAAAUGUUUUUGCCCCACUUACUUACAAAAUCCCCAAAUCUCUAAAACUGCAAUGAUACAUAGAAGAACUGUCAAACAAAACACACUGAGAGAUGAA